rnacentral:ncRNA from 1 species
GGUAGUAUAAUGCAUGGAAUAGUAAGUUCUUUAAUGGGUACAGAAAGUUCUUCAUAGCUGAGAGAGAACCCCCGCUUUUAGAAUUGAACCUACCAAUAGAUUGAUUAUGAAAAUAAUCCGGUUUGCGUACCGUUAUCACGUUCCAAGAGACAUUUAACAAUGAAAAUGUAAUUAAAGGUGGUACCGCGAGUCAUUCGUCCUUUUU